UUGAAGGCUGAAAUUCGCCUUCAUGAAGCUGGAAUUGCUAGUAAUGGCAGGUCAGCAUACUGCCGUGAAUACGUUCCCGGGCCUUGUACACACCGCCCGUCACACCAUGAGAGUUGGAAAUACCCGAAGCCUGUGAGCUAACUGUAAAGAGGCAGCAGUCGAAGGUAGAGCCAAUGAUUGGGGUGAAGUCGUAACAAGGUACC
rnacentral:rRNA from 1 species